UAUGUAGCUAACAAUUGUCAAUAAAGAAAGAGAUGCAAAUAGAGCAAGAUAGUUUAGAGGGAGGUGCAGAGCAACAACCAGCCCAUACACAGACACUGACACACACACACACACACACCAAACACUAAGACACUUACAGCACAGAUAAUGAAACUGCUAAGAUCUAGCAUGCAGCUCUGCCAGACAUUGUUUUUAUUUUUAUUUUUUUCCCUCUUGGACAUGACUCAGGGUUCCUUUCAACUUGUCCGAGUGGUUCCUGUUGAGAGUCAUGGCACCUUUCAACAUGAUGUGUAUCAAUGUAUAACAGAACCUGAGAUGGAAAACCCAAAAUACAGCUGGAGCAGAAAGGAUUGGUCUGGACUUCCGGAAGGAGUCAAAGCAGAAGGGGAUUUUCUAUAUUUCUUAAAAUCGACUCCUGAUCACAAUGGUCUGUACAUCUGUGAGGUUGUGAACCAUAAACGUGCUGCAGCAGGUUCACUCUAUCGACACAUCAAAAUAAGGAAUAGCUCUGAAAUUCAUUCAGAGCUCUAACAGGUAUCAGAGAAGCAGCUUCCUGGAAAAAUGUGAAAAAAUACUCUGCAUAAUAAAGAAGAAACAGGAAGAAAGUGAUUUUCUGUUGAUUUGUGAAAUAUAAUAUAUAUAAAGCACACGUACAUGCCCAAAUUAAAACAAAUAAUAAUAAUAAUAAUAAUAAUAAUAAUAAUAAUAAUAAUAAGUAUUAUUAUUAUUAUUAUUAUUUACAUCCUUGAACACACUUGUGAUACAAGAGUUCAGAUUCUCUAUUGAAUCUGAGCUUUGAUUUGGCCAAUUAUCACACAUUUAUGUUCUUAUAUUUGAAUCAAGAAUUGUGUAGCAUUGUCUGUAUGUUUAGGACUGUUAUCCUAUUAGAAAUUGAACAUCUGGACCAUUUUCAAGUGCCUUUUGGACUGGAACCCUGACCAGUUUCCCAGUCCCUGCUGGUGAAACUCAUCUCCACACAAUGAUGCUUCCAACAUCAUGCAACACAGGAUGAUGUUCUAGAGAAGCACAUGUUUGUUUAGUUUCUAAAAUUCCUUUCUGAAAACCUUUUUUCAUUAAGGGCUUUCUACUCAAGUUGUUGCAUAAAGUUCAGUUUUGUGGAGUGUCCCAGGUUAUGGCUGUCCUGUGAAUAUAUCAGGAUAAAGAUAGCAUUAUCACAGAAUGUUACAAGUUUUAACAUACAAUUUUUCAUGGUAUCAUAAAAUUAUGAACAGUAACAUUUCAUGAUAUAAUGUUUAAAAAAACAAAUUGAUUUCAUGGUAUUGCCAGGUUAAAAGUGCUAAUCAAAAAUAGUAUGUUAAAAUUAGAACCUCGAUGCAGCGUCACAUGAUUUCAAAGAAAGGCAGCAUAUGUGUGUGGUAUGUUGUGUAAUACUGAAUGUAAACCUACUGCACUUAUCUGAAAAAUUCCAAAGUUCAAAGUUAUGUAGUUUUAAAGUUAUCUACUAAUUUUGCACAACGUCCUUUAUAUACAGAAUGCACACUGGUGUAUUUGUCUUGUAGUGUUUUGUAUUGUCUUUAUAGUGUUUAUAGCGUUUUUGUCUCACACUGUUGCAGCAGGUUACAUGUUUCACUUUAUGUGGCUAGAAAUUUUGUAGCUCUGUGUUUGUUUUUUUGUGACCUUGGAGAAGUGGGUUCUACGUCAGCUAUAUAUAGUUGAAAUGGCAAUAAAAGAUUCUUGACAUGA